rnacentral:rRNA from 1 species
UUUUAAAUUGAGAGUUUGAUCCUGGCUCAGGACGAACGCUGGCGGCGUGCCUAACACAUGCAAGUCGAGCGAUGAAACUUCCUUCGGGAAGUGGAUUAGCGGCGGACGGG